CAGGCGCGCAACUUACCCUAAUCUCGAUUCGAGGAGGUAGUGACAAGAAAUACCGAUGCGGGACCCUACGGGUGCCGCGUUCGGAAUGAGUACGAUUCGAACCACCUAACGAGGAACGAUCGGAGGGCAAGUCUGGUGCCAGCAGCCGCGGUAAUACCAGCUCUUCUAGCAUAUAUUAAAGUUGCUGCAGUUAAAACGCUCGUAGUUUGAAUUAUUUCGGCGUCAGGCUGGCUGGAAAAUUUAAUUUUUCAAGCUGUCUGGUGUCGAAUUAAAGCUUGGGCAGAGGCGAUUAAUUUCUCUCUGUCCAUUUAACCUUGAAAAACAUUGUCGCUCAAAAAAGGACGGAAAGGUCUAUUGAGAUUUCAGCAUGGGAUUAUGAAAAAAGGGAGGCAAGGACGAGAGGGGGUAAAAGCCUGAUUGACUUGUUUCCAAUGGUUAAUGAGGACGAUGCGUGGGAGUUCAUAUUAAUAAGUCAGAGGUGAAAUUCUUGGAUUUUAUUAAGAUGAACAUCAGCGAAGGCGUUCUUCAAGUGCGUGCC
rnacentral:rRNA from 1 species